UGGGCAACCUGCCCCUCUCUCUGGGAUAACCCCCGGGGAAACCGGAGCUAAUACCGGAUACUCCGGCUGGAUCGCAUGGUCCGGCCGGGAAAGGUCCGCCGGAGAGGGAUGGGCCCGCGGCCUAUCAGCUUGUUGGUGGGGUCAUGGCUCACCAAGGCGACGACGGGUAGCUGGUCUGAGAGGACGACCAGCCACACUGGAACUGAGAUACGGUCCAGACUCCUACGGGAGCA
rnacentral:rRNA from 1 species